rnacentral:lncRNA from 1 species
CUCACGCUUUUCUUUGGAAAUGCAGUUGCUGCGUGAAACACAACGUGAGAAUGGGAAUCUGACAUAUGAGUAACCCGGCCGAGAGGCACCUCUUGGAAAUGACACUGGGCCUUGGCUAGAAUUACGCACAGGCCCUGGGAGGGCUGCGGCUCGUAGGCCCGUAGGGGGCAGGGUGAGGGCGGAGGUCCUGGCGCCCCCAGGCCUGACCCGCCCGCACCGCUGGGCUAUUUUUAGCGUCCACUAAACUUAGCCGACUCCACCCUCUUGAAUAACCCACAUCUUAAAAUGCUAUUUUUCUCCAACAGGUCAAAAGAAUUCUGCGAGUUAGAGCGCAGAUUAAGUUGCUAGCGACGGGCAUUGAAGGUUUUAGAACCGAGAAAAUGAGCCGGUGGCGGGGAGCGCGUCCUCAGCGGCCAGGCCCGGCACGGGGCUCGGGCACUCGGGGACACACGGUGGUCGUCGCUGUGUCUCAGCAGGACCCUGUGCGCUGGAGAGCUUGGGGCCGCGAGUCGCGCAGCAAGGAGGCUUCUGGCUUCUCUAUUUUUAGCCUCUGAACGUUUUCCAAAAUAAUUACCAAAAGGAAAUACACACGCACACAUGGACCUAACACACAAAACGUCCUUCUGCGGGAAGCCAGCACUAGGAAAGAAAAAAAAAAAAAUCCGAAGUGAAAUUAUGACACAGGGUUUUGUAACCCGCGGUGGCGCGCUUCUGAAACCCGAGCCCGGCAGCGGCUUCUUAUCUGCACCGCGUUCCAGGAAGCAGCCGGCGUUUCGGCCGCGCAAGGGCAGCCGCCGCACGUAGGCAGCGUCCCCCAGCCCGGGACCCGCAGGAAUGCGAGGGGCAAGACAGAUCGCCGGAGGAGCAGGGGUCAGAAGUCAGUGUUUAACCACUCACUGGCUUUCGGUGAAGCCAGAAUGUUAGCAGCGAGUCGCGGUCGGGGGCCUUGGGGUUGCACACGCUUGCUCCAAGCACCGAGGCUCAGCUGAGCACAUGCACAACCCUCUCGAUGCAGCGGAAAGUCGUGUGGCUUAGGGCCGCACCCCGAAUUUCGCCGCACCCGCCGCUGUGCCAUUUACAACCCCCCACCCCGCCACUGCUGUCACGUAGCAAUCAAGAGUAAAGGUUAUCACAAAGUCUGUUCUUCGAAGGAAAGAGUUGGAAUCAAGGACUUCGGACGGGAGGAAGUUGGUAAGUUACCGCUUCCUCCCUCCUGUUUUCCUCUCCUUGUUUAACUUCUCACAAGAACAUGUGGCAGCGCUGCAGGUUAACUCAUCUUACAUAACUUCGGGGCCGUGUCAACUGUUCAGAAGAAAGAAAAACAAGUAUUCUCUUCUGUAGAAGUUGUAUUUAGAAACAGGCUCUGUUGUUUAGGACAAGUUCACUUGUGUUGCCUGAUCACUUGCAGCAGAAAAUCUUAGAACUGCUCCUCAAGCAACAAAAAGUAGGGGCUCCCAUUUCCAUCUUUCUUUCUUUUCUUUUUCUUUCUCUCUCUCUCCUUCCCUCCCUCCCUCCUUCCUCUCUCUCUCUUUCUUUCUUUCUGAUGGAGGCUUGCUCUGUCGCCCAGCUGCAGUGCAGUAGCACGAUCUCAGCUCACUGCAACCUCCGCCUCCCGGGUUCAAGCGAUUCCCCUGCCUUAGCCUCCCGAGUAGCUGGGACUACAGGUGCGCACCACCACGCCCAGCUAAUUUUUUGUAUGUUAGUAGAGAUGGGGUUUCACUAUGUUGGCCAGGAUGGUCUCGAUCUCCUAACUGCGUGAUCCGCCUGCCUCGGCCUCCCAAAGUGCUGGGAUUACAGGUGUGAGCCACUGUGCCCAGCCGGGCUCCCAUUUUUCUGAAUAUGAACUUCAAAAUAGUUUGAGGAGCCCAACAUGAGAGUAACUGGACAAUUGUCUUCCUCUGAGAAAACAAAAUGACAAACAACCAACAUGAAUCAAAUGAUGACUUGGUAUUUCAUUAAACACAACUCUUACAGCACCAGGAAGACAGUAGCCCAUUUUGUGCCAAGCGUAUUUACUCAGUUGGUGGCAAUAGGGGUUUGGAGAAUCUUGCAUUGUGGUUUGCUGGGGUCCACAAGCCACACAUCGGGUGUCUGGCCAUCCUGCAUGUCCAAAGGUGAACAAAGAAAUGCACUAAUAACCUAGAGACACAGGGACAAGAACAAGCCCAGUAAUACCCAUGUAGCCGUCUGCUAGAAUUGAAAGCCAGGUAUGGUGGGCUUCUACCCCACCCCAAUCACGACGUCCUAAUGAGGGCUACCAACUACCAAUUACCACACCUCCCCCCUGGCCUAGGGCCCUCAUCCUCCCCAAACAUCUCUGAGCAGAGUGGCAAUUAAGAGCACCCUGCUCUGUGGCUGGGAGCCUGGGAGCUGCCAGGGGCCAUAUCCUCCUACCACAGGGGAAGCUGGAUAGCAGAGGAGAUGGGGAGAUGGGAGAAGAAAGACUGAGUUCCCAGAGUCCUGAGACAGCAGUCCAGUGGCUCCCUGGCUGGGCACAGGGAGUCCCUUUUCCUGACUCGUUCAGUUCAAGCUGGGUCUGUUACUUGCCUCCAGAAGAGUUUUGAUACAGGUGUUGGCACCUUCUCAAUGCCCUGUCUCCAUGGUUGACCCACUUCCCUGACAGUGCCUUGAGCUCCUCCCCUGAUCUGGGCUGGUCCAGGCCCUUGCUGGGGGACGCCACGUGCUAGGGUAGACCAGAAGUCCCUUCUUGGAAGCCCUACUUCCUGUGGUUCUUAGAUGCCAUGUGGCUGACAUCUGGAGAGAGGGUGGACUAUGGACUCCCUCCCCACAUGAAAUCUAUGAAAGGCCAAAUAAGGUUUAAGAGGUCUGUUCUCAGCCCCUGACAACCUCCAGGACUCUCUAAGACUGCACGAACAAAAAUGAAGUAGUGCAUGGACCAAUGAGGUGAUAAGACCCCAGCGGAAAAAUUUUCUCCAAUAUUCCUCUAGGAAAGAGUCCUAGCAGCAAGAACAUUGGUCACGAGAUUGGCCAAGGGAUCAAUCAACUCUCUAGUCCCUUCCCGUGAUGUGAAAUGCGGUGUGGGCUGGAGCCCUUGUAUGCUUUGCCCCCAGUAGGCGGUUGCCUCCCUCACUGGGCACUGAGGCCAUAGGCCGCUUUGUUCUGCAGAGCCACGCCUGGCCUCUAGAGGAAUGGAUGUGACCUAGAGAUCUGGACUCAGAGCUGGGCAGAACCCUGGGGUGAUGCUUACUGAGCAGGAUGCCCAGGUUUGUGACUGUGUCUAUGAGAGGCCUUAAGGCAUGUAGGGGUCAUCUGGGGGAAAGGACGGCUGACUGAGUCAAGGUUGGCCUGGGUGGCUGCUUUGUUUUUGGGUCCAUGACAGCAGCCCUCUCUUCUCCUGAAGAGAUCUCCCUCCUCCAAUCAUAGUACCCCACCACCCUGGCCACAGGGAGGCCAUAUGAUCUGAGCUAGGCCUAUCAGAGGCCUUUCCUGGGAGUUUCUGAGUUCAAAGUGAGUGAAGAGCAUGACCCCUCUUUCCUGCUGGGGGGCCAUGCAGUUGGGAGCUGUCAUCAGGUGGAGCUGGUCUACAGGGACAGGCCCAAAGGAUGGAGCCACAUACCAGAGACUACAAACACAUGGUGGGGAGUGGAGUGUCCUGGCAGCCCUGUGACUCCGGCUCCCCUGUCUUUCCACAGUUUGGGGCUGAGAGCCAAUGAAGUUUCCUUUCGUCUAAGCUACUUUGGUUGACUUUCUGCCAUCACAAUACAGUCUUCGUGCACCCAGUAUUUCAGACUGCACUCAACUGCUAAGAUUCAAACUUCAACAAAAUGCAGAAUUUUAGUUGUUUACCUUUUUAGUUACAUGGACUCAAAAACAAGCAUCACCAUAACUUUCCACUGUGUGUGACAAUAUAAGAGUCAUAUCUUUGUGGCUCCAAAAAUGUUUAAAAAAGCAACUAGUAUAUUCAAUAUUUAGCUCAUAAGAGCUAAGCACUGUAAAAUACGUCUGACAUCUUCAACAUCAAACUAGAAUAAAGGUAAAAUUAAAAUAGGGUAGAAGAGUGUUCAUGCAUGAUCCAAUCUCACAUGAAACCCUAGUCCUAAAAAAAAGGCAACUCCCAAAUAGGUGUCUUGAUUUCACCCAGUGGCUUUAAAAUAGUUCUUAAUCAUGUAUGCAUUAAGAAGCCAAAACUCAUUGUUAUUUCUGAAGCACAUUAUUUUGAAAUUCUGUUUAAAUCUUCCAUAUUUGUAUGAUGAAAGUUAUGUCACAAAGUUAAUCAUUCCCAGGAUGCUUGCAGUAGGGGUAAUGAAAAACUUCUUGUGCAAGCGGCCAUUAAUCAGCAGUGUAACAUUGCAUAACGUGCUCCAAAGCACGUGUCAUGGGAUCAGAGUACACAGCUGCAUAAUGCAGGCCAGUGUCUGUGCCUCCUGCUGACCUUUUCCAAUGCAGAACUCGAACCAUGUGAUGCAUGCUUCUUGCCAAGUCACUUAUUGCCAAUGAUUAAGUUGGAUGAUAUGGAGAAACAUAAAUUUCUUUCUUUCUUUUUUUUUUUUGGAGUUCUAAAAGGAAGACUCUUUGAAGUCCCUGGCUUCUGGCACAGUGUUGUUGCUGGCUUGGUUAUAUUACUCUUGAUCAUUAUAAAAACUCUCCAUUAAAACUGAUAUCAAAUAUUUUGCUCAAGUGGUUCCUGGCAUUUGCAUUAGAAACAAUAGACAUACCCCCACAAGAAGAGUAUUUUAUAUGUAAGCAACGCAAAAAGUCAAAGACGCUAGAAGCCAAAGACAUACAUAUAUCAAAUCCCAAUCCAUCACGUUUGAUGUUCUUGAGCAAUACUGUUAGCGAGAAACUAUUACUUAAUCUUGCUAGUAUUAUCCAAAGAGAACACUUGCGAAAUACUUAAGACAAACAUGCUGUAAUUAUUACAUGAAUAAAGAGCUUGUGUAGCAUAAACUGUUUUUGUAACAUCAACACAAAUUCUGUUGGAGCAGGCUAAUAAUUAGCCGUGGUAACAACAAUGGCCACUGUGUUUGAGAAGCUCUGAGAGGUAACAGUGCUGCCGGAGGUGAGAUGACUCACGCGUUAUCUUCUACCCUCAAAGUAGCCUUGGUGUAGAGGGACUGUUUUCAAUAAUAUCUUAACCUAGAAAGUCUUCUGAAAUUUCACCAAGGGCUAAUUAUACAUUCUAGUACCAACUAGAAUAUAUCUGGUUCCCUAACAUAUAUUGGAAAUUAAAUUUCAUCUUCAUUUUACUUUUUUUUUUUAAGGAAAGGACUCUUCGAUUUGAUUACUAGCAAACUCUUACUGUACAUGAAAUCCUGUUCAAGGUCUGAAAGCUCAAAUUAAUAAAUGAUUUUGUCAUCAUAAUCUAAAUGUCUAACAGUGGAACAUGAAUUUAACAGUGUGGAAGAAAAGUUGUCCUAAAACAUAAGACAUCUAUAUGUGCUGGGAUUUCAAUACUUUUUAUUUUUACUACUUGAAUGCUGCAUUUAUGCAUUGCUUUGCUUUGGUUUAUGGCUGUUAGUUUAGCAACUAAGGGCUGAAUGAACAGAUCCCUCACAGAUCAUCCAACCUCAUGACCAGGCAAGGGGAGCCUCAGCUGGAGCAGCCUAUUUCUG